GCCCUGGUAGGAGCCAGACUUCUACUUUCUCGGCCCUUUUACCGAAUUGUGAUCUGGAGGCUGCGGGUUCGAGUCCCGCGUAGGGCU
rnacentral:tRNA from 1 species